rnacentral:pre_miRNA from 1 species
UUUUAAGUAUAAGUAUGUCCCAUGCAGUAUUUGGGAUGUAGUUACACUAAAA